rnacentral:rRNA from 1 species
UACGUAGGUGCAAGCGUUGUCCGGAAUUAUUGGGCGUAAGAGCUCGUAGGCGGUUGUCGCGUCUGCCGUGAAAGUCCGGGGCUCAACUCCGGAUCUGCGGUGGUACGGGCAGACUAGAGUGAUGUAGGGGAGACUGGAAUUCCUGGUGUAGCGGUGAAAUGCGCAGAUAUCAGGAGGAACACCGAUGGCGAAGGCAGGUCUCUGGGCAUUAACUGACGCUGAGGAGCGAAAGCAUGGGGAGCGAACAGG